UGGUAAAAAUAUAAAUACGAUACUUUGGAUAAUAUCCCGGGUGAAGUGCUCACCGAUAUCCGUGCGCUUGCGGAUCAAUUCCUUAUUGCAUUACCAAAUAUCAACAAGCAUUUCUGGCGCCGUUGCCGGGGAGAAAGACGGUUUGCUGAGAUAAUCUUGAGUCUUACUACUAGCUUAUAUUUAUACUUUUAUCUUUUCUUAUCUUUUUAUAUUCUUUAUUUUUUCUUACCUUAUGGAAAACCAAGAUUCUAAAUCAAUCUAUCAAUUUCCAACACCUUCGGAAACUGACCUUUUACCAUGGGAGUCAUCACAUCCUAUCCAAACAUCCCAGUAUAGGUUAAGUUCCAGGUUGAUUGCCAUGAUUC
rnacentral:lncRNA from 1 species